GUCCUUCCCGCCUCGCCCACUGCCAGCGAUGUACAGGAUGUCGCAACUCCAGGGAGCUUGUCAUCUAAAAUAGGAAAAUUAAGCUAAUUUAAAAACAAAAAUGUCUGGCAGUGAUACAAAUCGUACAUGAAUUGUGUGCGUAGCUGUGCAACGAAAUAGCUAGAACAAUGUUUACCUUGAACACCUGCUUGCUGAAGAAGAGCGACAGCUUCGGCGUACGAAGGAGGCGGCAGCUCACUUGGUCCUUGACUCUGGGUGAUGACCUCGUACGGGGGCGGGCCAGGGGUUCCUGUGCCGGACCCAUUCACCGCCUGAGCGCCGGCCAGUUCCUGUAAAUGCUGAAGCUGACCAAUUUAUAAUUUACACGGAAUUUAUCGCAUAAUGCGGACGAUAAUGCAGGGAAGAGAAAAAAAAACAUGCAAGAGGAAAACUACGUUUCUGACUAAUUAGUUUCCUUAACUUACAAUGACUAUUCACAGUUUUAUUUGUAUUACUUUUGCCCAGUAAAUUUUUAAAGAAAUUCUUUCUCACACUGAAUAUCACAACACAUUUAAACGAUAUCUGAAAGUAACGAUAUACCGAGACAAUCAAGAAAAAACUGGAAUGAAAAAAUAUGGAAUACAUUUUGAAAAAAAAUUUUUUUUCGCUUUUACCAGCAGAAAAUUCGCCACCUUUUACUUCUCUCUUUUCCCCUUAUUCUCUUUCUACUUCUGCCGCUGUGGCUGCUGUUACUUCUUUUUAUAUUUAACCGAGACAAAUAUUUUUCACAUGACAACGCCAGAAUGUAAACAUACCUAGUUAGUUGUUUGGUCAAAUUUAGUCAAGUGAACUUAACGCAAAUUUCCGUACUCUUUUCUUCAGGGAAUUUAAAAUUAAAGAUGAUUUAAAUUUUCCAUAUAAUCUACUGCUACUGCUAUUCCUGAAUUCGAUACCUUUCAGCAUGGCUGUUCGUUUGCUUCUUUGUUAAAUAAAAAGAAAAAAAAAGAAAAGAAAAAUUCACAGAUGACUUCCCGCAUACCGGUGACAAUAACAACAAUUCACUGUGUGACCAUGAAACAUAUUCAUGAUUUAUCGGUCUCUCUUGUUAUUCUCGCUUCAUCUCUCUCACCGCUACUUUUACAUUGCAUUUUUAAACGGCUCCUAACUUUGACUGUCUGUGCAAUUGGAAAUACACGAAUGCAACUAAUUCAUUAUAUGUGACCCACUCUUGC